AGUGAACGCUGGCGGUAGGCCUAACACAUGCAAGUCGAACGGCAGCACAGUAAGAGCUUGCUCUUACGGGUGGCGAGUGGCGGACGGGUGAGGAAUACAUCGGAAUCUACUUUUUCGUGGGGGAUAACGUAGGGAAACUUACGCUAAUACCGCAUACGACCUACGGGUGAAAGCAGGGGAUCUUCGGACCUUGCGCGAUUGAAUGAGCCGAUGUCGGAUUAGCUAGUUGGCGGGGUAAAGGCCCACCAAGGCGACGAUCCGUAGCUGGUCUGAGAGGAUGAACAAGCACACUGGGACAUGGAAAACGGCCAGACACCUACGGGAGGGAGCAGUGGGGAAAAUUGGAAAAUGGGCGGAAACCUGAUCCAACCAUACCGCGUGGGUGAAGAAGGCCUUCGGGUUGUAAAGCCCUUUUGUUGGGAAAGAAAAGCAGCAGGUUAAUACCCCGCUGUUCUGACGGUACCCAAAGAAUAAGCACCGGCUAACUUCGUG
rnacentral:rRNA from 1 species